ensembl:lncRNA
GAUCCGAGCAGAAGUUGGGGUCAGACCCAGGGUUAAGCAUAGUUCAGGUUGCCUUGCCGUCAGAUAAUCAACCAUCAGGCUUAUUUCUCUCUCCGAUUUCCCCAGCACUGUAUAAAUGAGACAACGUGCUUUGUCUUCUGUGGUCGUCUUCCCCUCUACAGUCUUCUUCUCCUCGUCAUUCAACACAUUCAUCUCCCUAAGGUAACGCAGGAGAUUGAUGACAUCUUGGUCCAAUAACAGUACGACUAAUUUAGAGCGAAUCCUUCCAAGUUCU